AGAAAGAGAAGCUUUGAGUAACUGCUUAGGCCUUCCUUAGGAGACCGCCCCGCUAUCUGAUAUUGAAGAGCGGCAAAAUGUUGCAUUACAUAUCCAUUGCUGAAGAUGACUCAGACACUAGGAACAAGGUUGGUAAAAUGAGGACCCAGAUUGUUGGGGACCAUAUGCUGAGAGGGCUGGAAAGCACUGGAAAGCGAUAUAGUAUAUAAGUCUAAAUGCUAUUGCUAUUUAUGUAUAAAAUUUCAUUAUUGCCCAACUCACAGACAGA